CUGAGGGAAGCUGGCCUGGAUGAGCUGUGCUUGGGCUGUCUUAGUCGCCCAUGGCAAGAGGCUGAGGAGAUGCCUGGGACAUCAGCCUGGAACUGCUGCUGGACUCUAUAAAGCUCAGCACCAGGCACAGUUGUCUGCCUCAGCCCCAUGGGGAAACAAUUGUGCUGCAGAGCUUUGUAAGAGAGCUCCCUGCUGUCAGGGUAACACAGUCGUCAUGACACCCAAGAUGCUCACUGUGGUUGCUCAGAUGGCCUUUCUGGGCUUGUUCCAUGUCCAGGAGCUAUGCAGGCACCCAGAAAGUAAACAGACCCUAUGCAGAAUGAGCAGGGCCCACCUCAUCCCAGCCCAGCCCAGCCCAGCCCAGCCCAGCCCAGCCCAGCCCAGCCCAGCCCAGCUGUGUCAGCUAUUCCAGCGCUGAGCAU
rnacentral:lncRNA from 1 species